rnacentral:rRNA from 1 species
AUUGAACGCUGGCGGCAUGCCUUACACAUGCAAGUCGAACGGUAACAGGUCUUCGGAUGCUGACGAGUGGCGAACGGGUGAGUAAUACAUCGGAACGUGCCCGAGAGUGGGGGAUAACGAGGCGAAAGCUUUGCUAAUACCGCAUACGAUCUCAGGAUGAAAGCAGGGGACCGCAAGGCCUUGCGCUCACGGAGCGGCCGAUGGCAGAUUAGGUAGUUGGUGGGAUAAAAGCUUACCAAGCCGACGAUCUGUAGCUGGUCUGAGAGGACGACCAGCCACACUGGGACUGAGACACGGCCCAGACGCCUACGGGAGGCAGCAGUGGGGAAUUUUGGACAAUGGGCGCAAGCCUGAUCCAGCCAUGCCGCGUGCAGGAUGAAGGCCUUCGGGUUGUAAACUGCUUUUGUACGGAACGAAAAGACUCUGGUUAAUACCUGGGGUCCAUGACGGUACCGUAAGGAUAAGCACCGGCUAACUACGUGCCAGCCGCCGCCGUAACAC